GCAGGACGAAAAUCGGCGCUGCUGGUAGCGCUUCGUUUGCCACCUGGCGGGAAUUGCCUGACAGGCAAGAGCGGUUCGAGUCUUGGGCUUGGGCGCAGGAUACCACAAUGCUUGGUCGGGGAUCUCCGUGGAGAGUGCCUAGGGCGACCCAAUAAGAGACCGAGGCGAGAAGCAGACCCGAAUUGAGAAGUGGCACAGAGUUCCCGAGAGACUACUGCGGCUAGUGACCACUGACCCGCUGCUCUUGGAGCUGCUUCAAGCUGUUGGAGCCUUUGCAAAACUCUGCUGGAAACUCCAGCAGCCGUUACUGCGACGAAGGCUUUUCUGGGGCCAUCAGUGACUCGGAAGGCAUACGAGCAUCACAAAUGUGCUUCAAGGUGUCACCAAACUGUGCAUCGACAGCCCAUCGCUCCUGCACCUGACGUCUUCUUCUGAGACACUGAGAACGCUUCCUUCGACCAAAGAGCUAUA
rnacentral:lncRNA from 1 species